rnacentral:rRNA from 1 species
AGCGAACGCUGGCGGCAUGCUUAACACAUGCAAGUCGCACGGUCGGGGGCAACCCCGGCAGUGGCGGACGGGUGAGUAACGCGUAGGUAUCUGUCUCCGGGUGGGGGAUAACCGUGGGAAACUACGGCUAAUACCGCAUGACACCUGAGGGUCAAAGGCGCAAGUCGCCCGGAGAGGAGCCUGCGUCCGAUUAGCUUGUUGGUGGGGUAACGGCCUACCAAGGCUCCGAUCGGUAGCUGGUCUGAGAGGAUGAUCAGCCACACUGGGACUGAGACAC